GAUGAACGCCGGCGGUGUGCCUAAUACAUGCAAGUCGAACGCGUUGGCCCAAUUGAUUGAUGGUGCUUGCACCUGAUUGAUUUUGGUCGCCAACGAGUGGCGGACGGGUGAGUAACACGUAGGUAACCUGCCCAGAAGCGGGGGACAACAUUUGGAAACAGAUGCUAAUACCGCAUAACAGCGUUGUUCGCAUGAACAACGCUUAAAAGAUGGCUUCUCGCUAUCACUUCUGGAUGGACCUGCGGUGCAUUAGCUUGUUGGUGGGGUAACGGCCUACCAAGGCGAUGAUGCAUAGCCGAGUUGAGAGACUGAUCGGCCACAAUGGGACUGAGACACGGCCCAUACUCCUACGGGAGGCAGCAGUAGGGAAUCUUCCACAAUGGGCGCAAGCCUGAUGGAGCAACACCGCGUGAGUGAAGAAGGGUUUCGGCUCGUAAAGCUCUGUUGUUAAAGAAGAACACGUAUGAGAGUAACUGUUCAUACGUUGACGGUAUUUAACCAGAAAGUCACGGCUAACUACGUGCCAGCAGCCGCGGUAAUACGUAGGUGGCAAGCGUUAUCCGGAUUUAUUGGGCGUAAAGAGAGUGCAGGCGGUUUUCUAAGUCUGAUGUGAAAGCCUUCGGCUUAACCGGAGAAGUGCAUCGGAAACUGGAUAACUUGAGUGCAGAAGAAGGGUAGUGGAACUCCAUGUGUAGCGGUGGAAUGCGUAGAUAUAUGGAAGAACACCAGUGGCGAAGGCGGCUACCUGGUCUGCAACUGACGCUGAGACUCGAAAGCAUGGGUAGCGAACAGGAUUAGAUACCCUGGUAGUCCAUGCCGUAAACGAUGAGUGCUAGGUGUUGGAGGGUUUCCGCCCUUCAGUGCCGGAGCUAACGCAUUAAGCACUCCGCCUGGGGAGUACGACCGCAAGGUUGAAACUCAAAGGAAUUGACGGGGGCCCGCACAAGCGGUGGAGCAUGUGGUUUAAUUCGAAGCUACGCGAAGAACCUUACCAGGUCUUGACAUCUUGCGCCAACCCUAGAGAUAGGGCGUUUCCUUCGGGAACGCAAUGACAGGUGGUGCAUGGUCGUCGUCAGCUCGUGUCGUGAGAUGUUGGGUUAAGUCCCGCAACGAGCGCAACCCUUGUUACUAGUUGCCAGCAUUAAGUUGGGCACUCUAGUGAGACUGCCGGUGACAAACCGGAGGAAGGUGGGGACGACGUCAGAUCAUCAUGCCCCUUAUGACCUGGGCUACACACGUGCUACAAUGGACGGUACAACGAGUCGCGAACUCGCGAGGGCAAGCAAAUCUCUUAAAACCGUUCUCAGUUCGGACUGCAGGCUGCAACUCGCCUGCACGAAGUCGGAAUCGCUAGUAAUCGCGGAUCAGCAUGCCGCGGUGAAUACGUUCCCGGGCCUUGUACACACCGCCCGUCACACCAUGAGAGUUUGUAACACCCAAAGUCGGUGGGGUAACCUUUUAGGAGCCAGCCGCCUAAGGUGGGACAGAUGAUUAGGGUG
rnacentral:rRNA from 1 species